rnacentral:rRNA from 1 species
UUCGAUGCAACGCGAAGAACCUUACCAAGGCUUGACAUACACCGGUAACGCCCAGAGAUGGGUGCCCCUUUGUGGUCGGUGUACAGGUGGUGCAUGGUUGUCGUCAGCUCGUGUCGUGAGAUGUUGGGUUAAGUCCCGCAACGAGCGCAACCCUCGUCCUAUGUUGCCAGCGGGUCAUGCCGGGGACUCAUGGGAGACUGCCGGGGUCAACUCGGAGGAAGGUGGGAUGACGUCAAAUCAUCAUGCCCCUUAUGUCUUGGGCUUCACGCAUGCUACAAUGGCCGGUACAAAGGGCUGCGAUACCGCGAGGUGGAGCGAAUCCCAGAAAGCCGGUCUCAGUUCGGAUUGGGGUCUGCAACUCGACUGCGUGAAGUCGGAAUCGCUAGUAAUCGUGGAUCAGCAUGUCACGGUGAAUACGUUCCCGGGUCUU